CACUUCUUCCUUCCUCAUCUUAGCUGCCAUACUCUUUUCUCUGUUCGAUCCCCUCCUUGUCUAGUCGCCAUACUCAUCAACCAUGACAUUCUUCUUCUCCUUUCUGAAUGUUAGAGCUUUUCAGCCACCGCAAGACACUCUUCUUCCUUUGAUUUUGGAAGCUCAGCCACGAGCUUCAUAGCCCAAAUUCCUCUAUCCAAACUGCUCUCCUCACCUAUAUAUAUUGGUGUCCUCUUGGCUGUUUUAGGUCUCUCUUGGCCGAUUUGAGUCUUGACUAUUUUUAAGGACAACAGAUUGUUGGAUGAUUUUACUGGUAUUUUUAGAGGGAACCAAACAGAGUGGUUGCAGACUCAAUGUUGAUCAGAGUAUUGACAAAUUCAAAUUUUAAACUUUUGUAAGGUGAAACUAAAAAUAAGAAUAAGGGCUUCCCAAUAUCAUACAAGUGAUGCCAAUUACAAAUGCAAUGUCAGUGAAGGGUCCUGUAGCAUGCAAAUUUUAUUCCCUGAGGGAAAUGUAGCCGUCUUAACCAAUCUUGGUUCUAAUCAGGUUUAAUGGAAUGAAUCUUCAUGAUGCAGUACUUCGUGCAUAUCAUUUUUGUGGAUGAGUGACUCAACUUGAGGUAGAAUGAAAGUUUCCCAGUAUUGAGACAGGUGAUUCUAAUGACGAAUCACUGGUUUGCAAUUACUGCAGCUGUAAUUUUCAUUUUUGUUUCAUUUAAUGAAUUUUAAUGAGGUGUAAGAUCCUUGGAGAUUAUUUCCUAGUAUGGAUUCUGUUAUCUUUCUGGAGGAUUAAUUAGAGAGAGAGAGAGAGAGAGAGAGAGAGCAUGAAAAGUAAAGGGUUGUUAAAGAGAGAAAAUCAACACUUUGUCUUUCUUCUUUACGUGUGUGUGUGUGUGUGCAUUUUUGCUCACUUUUAGCUGCUGUAACUCUAUAUUUGGCUGUAAUCUUUAUCAUCUAUAAUGGAUUUGCUCGAGCAGAUGAACUAGACGUAGAGUGACACAUUAUGGUUUGAACCAAUAUAAUUCCAAGUGUGACUUUCUUAUUUUUC